rnacentral:rRNA from 1 species
AUGGACCAAGGAGCCAGCUCGAACGCGGCCGCCUUCGUCGGCGCCGGUGAAGAAGAAAAGCAGCUCAAGGCGAUGUACGAGACAGAGGCGAAGAAGGUGGCCCGGCUGCAGGCGCUGCUGUCGUUCGGCAGGGCGGCGCACGCGGAAGCCAUGCGGUACAGCGACAUGGAGGAGGAGGAGGUGGUGGAGGAGUACCGGCGGGCGGGGAAGCUGCACACCUACGACGUGGACAAGGAGUGGAAGAAGCGCUUUGCCAGGGUCGCCAAGCUCCAUCCGUGCCCGUGGGGCAAGCAGACGGCCGCGAAGGUCGCAGAGUACACGUAUUACCUCGAGGAGGACGAGGACGACUUCAGGAUAGGGCUCUACUCACUAAUCAGGGAGUGA